rnacentral:rRNA from 1 species
AUUGAACGCUGGCGGUAUGCUUAACACAUGCAAGUCGAACGGCAGCACAGAGAGCUUGCUCUUGGGUGGCGAGUGGCGGACGGGUGAGUAAUGUAUCGGAAUCUGCCUAUAAGAUUGGGAUAACCUGGGGAAACUCAGGCUAAUACCGGAUGUGCCUUACGGGGUAAAGCAGGGGCUCGGAAGACCUUGCGCUUAUAGAUGCGCCUAUAUGAGAUUAGCUAGUUGGUAGGGUAAGAGCCUACCAAGGCAACGAUCUAUAGCUGGUCUGAGAGGAUGAUCAGACACACUGGGACUGAGACACGGCCCAGACUGCUACGGGAGGCAGCAGUGGGGAAUAUUGGACAAUGGGGGAAACCCUGAUCCAGCAAUACCGCGUGUGUGAAGAAGGCCUAUGGGUUGUAAAGCACUUUCAGUGGGGAGGAAAGUAUUAUGGUUAAUACCCAUGAUAAUUGACGCUACCCACAGAAGAAGCACCGGCUAACUCCGUGCCAGCCGCCGCAGUAA